rnacentral:rRNA from 1 species
UACGUAGGGAGCAAGCGUUGUCCGGAAUCAUUGGGCGUAAAGCGCGCGUAGGCGGCUCGAUCAGUCUGUUGUGAAAGUCAAAGGCUCAACCUUUGAAUGCCGAUGGAUACUGUCGAGCUAGAGUCCGGAAGAGGCGGGUGGAAUUCCUGGUGUAGCGGUGAAAUGCGCAGAUAUCAGGAGGAACACCGGUGGCGAAGGCGGGUCUCUGGGCCGAUACUGACGCUGAGGAGCGAAAGCGUGGGGAGCGAACAGG